rnacentral:rRNA from 1 species
UGGGGAAUAUUGCACAAUGGGCGGAAGCCUGAUGCAGCGACGCCGCGUGGGGGAUGAAGGCCUUCGGGUUGUAAACUCCUUUCGACAGGGACGAAGCUUUUGUGACGGUACCUGUAUAAGAAGCACCGGCUAACUACGUGCCAGCAGCCGCGGUAAUACGUAGGGUGCGAGCGUUGUCCGGAAUUACUGGGCGUAAAGAGCUCGUAGGUGGUUUGUCGCGUCGUCUGUGAAAUUCCGGGGCUUAACUCCUGGCGUGCAGGCGAUACGGGCUGACUUGAGUGCUGUAGGGGAGACUGGAAUUCCUGGUGUAGCGGUGAAAUGCGCAGAUAUCAGGAGGAACACCGAUGGCGAAGGCAGGUCUCUGGGCAGUAACUGACGCUGAGGAGCGAAAGCAUGGGUAGCGAACAGG